rnacentral:rRNA from 1 species
CCCUUCGGGGUUAGUGGCGCACGGGUGCGUAACGCGUGGGAAACCUGCCUUUAGGUUCGGAAUAACAGUUAGAAAUGACUGCUAAUACCGGAUAAUGUCUUCGGACCAAAUAUUUAUCGCCUUUAGAUGGGCCCGCGUUGGAUUAGAUAGUUGGUGGGGUAAUGGCCUACCAAGUCGACGAUCCAUAGCUGGUCUGAGAGGAUGAUCAGCCACACUGGGACUGAGACACGGCCCAGACUCCUACGGGAGGCAGCAGUGGGGAAUAUUGGACAAUGGGCGAAAGCCUGAUCCAGCAAUGCCGCGUGAGUGAUGAAGGCCUUAGGGUUGUAAAGCUCUUUUACCAGGGAUGA